GGCUUUGAGACAGUCUUUCUCAGUUUCAGAGACUCUCUCCCCCUCUGGGAUAGUACUGUAUGAGGCGU
ensembl:miRNA gga-mir-7459 gga-mir-7459